rnacentral:rRNA from 1 species
UACGUAGGGUGCGAGCGUUAAUCGGAAUUACUGGGCGUAAAGUGUGCGCAGGCGGCCGAGCAAGUCGAGUGUGAAAGCCCCGAGCUUAACUUGGGAACUGCGCUCGAAACUACUUGGCUAGAGUGUGGCAGAGGGAGGUGGAAUUCCACGUGUAGCGGUGAAAUGCGCAGAGAUCGGGAAGGAACACCCGUAGCGAAGGCGGCACU